UAGAAUGUGGUGUGAUCAGGUAGCACGAAGAAUUUUGAAUUCUUAGGGGUGGGUUCAAUUCCCAUAGUUCUAG
rnacentral:tRNA from 1 species